rnacentral:rRNA from 1 species
UACGAAGGGGGCUAGCGUUGCUCGGAAUUACUGGGCGUAAAGCGCACGUAGGCGGCUUGUUAAGUCAGGGGUGAAAUCCUGGAGCUCAACUCCAGAACUGCCUUUGAUACUGGCGAGCUUGAGUUCGGGAGAGGUGAGUGGAACUGCGAGUGUAGAGGUGAAAUUCGUAGAGUAUUCGCAAGAACACCAGUGGCGAAGGCGGCUCACUGGCCCGAUACUGACGCCCAGGUGCGAAAGCGUGGGGAGCAACAGGAUA